rnacentral:rRNA from 1 species
GUGGGGAAUAUUGCGCAAUGGGGGAAACCCUGACGCAGCGACGCCGCGUGAAGGAAGAAGGCCUUCGGGUUGUAAACUUCUUUGAUCGGGGACGAAGAUGACGGUACCCGAGGAACAAGCCACGGCUAACUACGUGCCAGCAGCCGCGGUAAUACGUAGGUGGCGAGCGUUGUCCGGAAUUACUGGGUGUAAAGGGCGUGUAGGCGGGGCGUCAAGUCAGGUGUGAAAUUCCGAGGCUUAACUUCGGGUAUGCACCUGAAACUGGUGCUCUUGAGUGUCGGAGAGGAAAGUGGAAUUCCCAGUGUAGCGGUGAAAUGCGUAGAGAUUGGGAGGAACACCAGUGGCGAAGGCGGCUUUCUGGACGACAACUGACGCUGAGGCGCGAAAGCGUGGGGAGCAAACAGGAUUAGAAACCCUAGUAGUCC